UACGAAGGGGGCUAGCGUUAUUCGGAAUUACUGGGCGUAAAGCGCACGUAGGCGGCUUUGCAAGUCGGGUGUGAAAUCCCCGGGCUCAACCUGGGAACUGCAUCCGAGACUGCAUUGCUAGAGUAUGGGAGAGGGAAGCGGAAUUUCUGGUGUAGCAGUGAAAUGCGUAGAUAUCAGAAGGAACAUCAGUGGCGAAGGCGGCUUCCUGGACCAAUACUGACGAUCAGGUGCGAAAGCGUGGGGAGCAAACAGG
rnacentral:rRNA from 1 species